rnacentral:rRNA from 1 species
AGUGAACGCUGGCGGUAGGCCUAACACAUGCAAGUCGAACGGCAGCACAGUAAGAGCUUGCUCUUACGGGUGGCGAGUGGCGGACGGGUGAGGAAUACAUCGGAAUCUACUUUUUCGUGGGGAAUAACGUAGGGAAACUUACGCUAAUACCGCAUACGACCUACGGGUGAAAGCAGGGGAUCUUCGGACCUUGCGCGAUUGAAUGAGCCGAUGUCGGAUUAGCUAGUUGGCGGGGUAAAGGCCCACCAAGGCGACGAUCCGUAGCUGGUCUGAGAGGAUGAUCAGCCACACUGGAACUGAGACACGGUCCAGACUCCUACGGGAGGCAGCAGUGGGGAAUAUUGGACAAUGGGCGCAGGCCUGAUCCAGCCAUACCGCGUGGGUGAAGAAGGCCUUCGGGUUGUAAAGCCCUUUUGUUGGGAAAGAAAAGCAGCAGGUUAAUACCCCGCUGUUCUGACGGUACCCAAAGAAUAAGCACCGGCUAACUUCGUG